GUGGACAUGGUGGAGGAAUCGGGGUUGGUAUCGGAGUAGGUGUUGGUGGUGGAGCUGGCAAAGGUGUUGGAGUAGGGAGUGGUUCCGGUAGUGGUGGUAAUGGCCGAUGAUAAAUAUUUCGUAGCCUUAAAGCUACACUUAAGCGCAGUACCAAGAUACAUAAUGUUACUUUAGACUUUAAAGUUGUUAACGCUACAAAUAUAAUUAAACUAAUGAACUUGUAUGAUUUGGC
rnacentral:misc_RNA from 1 species